rnacentral:rRNA from 1 species
GACGAACGCUGGCGGCGUGCUUAACACAUGCAAGUCGAGCGGUAAGGCCCUUUCGGGGGUACGACGAGCGGCGAACGGGUGAGUAACACGUGGGUGACCUGCCCUCAGCUCUGGGAUAAGCCUGGGAAACCGGGUCUAAUACUGGAUAUGACUCCAUGACGCAUGUUGUGGGGUGGAAAGCCUUGUGCGGCUGAGGAUGGGCCCGCGGCCUAUCAGCUUGUUGGUGGGGGGAUGGCCUACCAAGGCGACGACGGGUAGCCGGCCUGA